rnacentral:rRNA from 1 species
UACGUAGGGUGCGGGCGUAAUCGGAAUUACUGGGCGUAAAGGGCGCGUAGGCGGCGCAACAAGUCACUUGUGAAAUCUCCGGGCUUAACCCGGAGCGGUCAAGUGAUACUGUCGUGCUAGAGUGCGGAAGGGGCUACUGGAAUUCUCGGUGUAGCGGUGAAAUGCGUAGAUAUCGAGAGGAACACCUGCGGCGAAGGCGGGUAGCUGGGCCGACACUGACGCUGAUGCGCGAAAGCCAGGGGAGCGAACGGG